CGGGUGAGUAACACGUGGAUAACCUACCUAUAAGACUGGGAUAACUUCGGGAAACCGGAGCUAAUACCGGAUAAUAUAUUGAACCGCAUGGUUCAAUAGUGAAAGACGGUUUUGCUGUCACUUAUAGAUGGAUCCGCGCCGCAUUAGCUAGUUGGUAAGGUAACGGCUUACCAAGGCAACGAUGCGUAGCCGACCUGAGAGGGUGAUCGGCCACACUGGAACUGAGACACGAUCCAG
rnacentral:rRNA from 1 species